GGUGACCACGGGAGGCCAGCUGCAGUCUGCUCUCCGCCUCUCCCAUGCCCACCCCUCCCCUAACCCAGCCACUCCCCUGCACUAUUUCUGUGGUGACCUCUUAGGGGUCUGUCCACUCUCCCACCCCCUCCCUACCCACUUCUUCCAGCUUACAAACCCCCUUUCUCUGCAGGUCCCCACGGCAACACUCAUCCGCCCUGCAGUACUGGGAGCAGGGGAGCCUUGCACGCGGGAAGGGAGAACCCUACGCGGGAUCCCACUGUCCCCUGCCCGUCCGGAUCACGGCCACAGACGUGACGUCUAGAUGCAGCCCGCAGGAGCUGCAUUUGGGGUGAGCCAGGGCUCCCCAGCCCCUGGCGAUCCCGCCUCCAACACCACCGGCCAGCAUUCGACUCAGAAGAGCCUGGAGCUGCAGACGGGGGCUUUCCAGUUCCAGGGGCCCUGUGACCACCAGGACACGGAGCAGUGCCACUUCCUCUGGCUUGUAAAUCGGUCACCGCAGUGGAGGCCCCAACCCUGCCCUGCUGAUGCUGCCCGUGUGCGGCUCUCAACGCAGUGAACAGACAGGAUGAUGGGUGACGGCGCUGACCCUGAUCAAACCCAACUCUGGGGAACAAACAUGGUGAUCCGUGCAUCAUCUUCCCUGUAUUCGGGGCCAGACGAGCUUCUUGCACAUCUGAGACUAACUGGCAAGAAUCCUUUCCAUCUGUCUUUUCAUCUACGAGAGAGAGAGAGAGAGAGAGAGAGAGAGAGAGAGAGAUAUCUCAUCUGCUGGGUCACUCCCCAAAUGCCUGCAACAGCCACAGCUGGGCCGGGCUGAAGCCAGGAGCCAGGAGCUCCAUCCGGGUUCUUCACGUGGGUGGCAGGGGCCCAAGCACCUGAGCCGUCUUCCCCUGAGUCCGUGGAAGCAUCAGCUGGUAGCUGGCUGUACAGCUGAGUAACUGGGACUCCCACCGGCCCUCCGAGGCGGGAUGCGGCUUAACCCACUGUGCUCCAAGCCCCAGCAGUUCCCAUUUACAGGGAAGAUGGACCACAGCGUCUUGGGCUCAGGAGACUUCUUGGGGGACACAUUUCCCGCCUGAGAAGAGUCAACGUGGCUGUGCUGCACCACGCGGUAUCUCAGUGGCUCGUCAGAGGCAAGGCUCCCCUUGGACCUGAGUGGAUCGAGGUGAACAAGGCGUCCCGUGACAAGGUCCGAGACAGCCGCGCCGGGGCAGGACGAGGCAUCUGUUACCUGUGCCAAGCACAUCACCCUCCCAACCAUCUUGUUUACCAGGGCAGGGGGAACCCAGUACUCCCGACUGGGUGCUGGAUUUAGGGGUGGGUGGAGGGGAAAGGGGGCACCUUGGGAUUGAGUUUUGCCUCUUAAUCAAAGCUCAUCUAAAUCGCGGUUCUGACGGCUCUCAGGUGAAUAAAAUGUUACACCCGGAGGCA
rnacentral:lncRNA from 1 species